rnacentral:rRNA from 1 species
CAGCCGCCGCGGGAAUACGAGGGGGGCAAGCGUUGUUCGGAAUUAUUGGGCGUAAAGGGUGCGUAGGCGGUUUGAUAAGUCUGAUGUGAUAUCUCUGGGCUCAACCCAGAGUCUGCAUCGGAAACUGUCGGGCUUGAGUAUGGGAGAGGUGAGUGGAAUUUCCGGUGUAGCGGUGAAAUGCGUAGAUAUCGGAAGGAACACCUGUGGCGAAAGCGGCUCACUGGACCAUUACUGACGCUGAUGCACGAAAGCUAGGGGAGCAAACAGGAUUAGAUACCCCUGUAGUCCCUGUCUCUUAUAA